GACGGAGGAUGCAAGCGUUAUCCGGAAUGAUUGGGCGUAAAGCGUCCGCAGGUGGCUGUGUAAGUCUGCUGUCAAAGAGCGAAGCUCAACUUCGUAAAGGCAGUGGAAACUACACGGCUAGAGUGCGUUCGGGGCAGAGGGAAUUCCUGGUGUAGCGGUGAAAUGCGUAGAGAUCAGGAAGAACACCAGUGGCGAAGGCGGCGCUCUGGGCCGGAACUGACGCUGAGGAGCGAAAGCGUGGGUAGCAAACAGG
rnacentral:rRNA from 1 species